GCAGGUAUAGCUCAGUGGUAGAGUGUGUGCUUAGCAUGCCCGAGAUCCUGGAUUCAACUCUCAGUACCUCCA
rnacentral:tRNA from 1 species